AUGCAUACCAGGAGCAUGUCAGUGAAUUGGUCAUUUUUGAGUCGAAGGGAAAUUAAGUUUCGAUCGGAAGCGGACUAUCUUGAGGAACCAUGUUCAGUUUGGUCUGACUGCCACCAUACUGCAAUUAUUUACUUGAGGGAAGAGGGAAUUAUGGAGAGAAAAAUACCCACAGUGCAAGCAACUUCUAGGGGAGUGGGAAUGCAGGCAACAAGAAUGCUCUGUGUCCCUAGACCACCUGCCCCCCAUGAAGAUUAUGACCCUUGCAUGGAGAAGAAUUCACAAAACAAUUUUAUGCUGCCUUGUAAUCUUCUGCCGGACAAUGGAUGCCUCAAGUGUCACAGAGUUCAUAGAGAAACCGGGUCAAAACUGCUGAAACCAUCAGGUAUUCACUGUGUACAACCAGCAUGUUACUUUGAGGUUGGUUGUUCUCAAGCAAAUCUGAACCUGAAUGAAGUCAGUGCUCCUGUUGUUGACAUGUUUGCGAACAAAACUAAUCAGGUGUGGGGGUUAUUUCUCUGUUGCAAGCAUCCACCUGAUCCAGCAGCCCUGUGCCUGCAUGAGCCGCAACUGCGUACCAGUUCAAUUGCUACUGAUUUUCUUCUGGGAGUUCCUUAUGCCUUUUGCUUCUAUUACGUGCUUCAGUCUGGCUAUUUGUCCGCCGUUGUAUCUGAAGCUAUACCGUAUGAACUGGCGACAUUACUGCAUCCUCUGUUGGACACCUCCAAGCUGCAACCUGAUGACUACAACAACAGGUGUCGCCUGCUUCUGUUCAUUUCUGCUAUAGUGGUGUUGCAGAUCGAAAGGGGCAUCUACCGGAUGGGCACCUCUUGGGAUCCUGGCGGACCGACAUGCUUGAUGUUACUGGAAUUGACUCGACAAGCGUCCUAUGAAGGAGGGAGGAGCGUCAUCAUUGUCGUCAUCGUCUUCACACAAAGCUCCAUCGACUGCAAGUGCUACCUCGACUUCAACCGUGGCGGUGCCGACAACGACUACGACGCCUUCUUCGACGGGAUUUUCAUCGGCCACAACAACUACCUCUCCAUCGUUGCAGUCUACCUCGACUUCAGCUACCGCAACGGCUCCAACCAAGCCUGGGAACAUCGAGCGCCAUGGGAUCCAGGAGAUCCUCGGCGGUGUCAGCUUGAGGUCAAGCCGAGUCUCAUCCAGGGAGGGAUGUCGGUGACUAGAUCGUGCCGGGUCCUCAAGUCAGCGAAGAAGCAACGCGUGGUGCACGACCGAGCAUGUGCUCCCGUCCCCCAGAUACUCGCUACCGGCUUGAGGGCAAGCCGGCUUUCAAGGGGGAGGGGAUGUCAGCCCCCUUUCCAGUCAUGGGCUGAGAGUGAUGGGCUAGGCCCAGCCGGCUCCCUACGGCAACAACUACAAGUAGGAGGGCCAAAGCAUCAGGCGAAGGUAUCCGCGUAG
rnacentral:rRNA from 1 species